rnacentral:rRNA from 1 species
CCUACGGGUGGCAGCAGUGGGGAAUAUUGGACAAUGGGCGAAAGCCUGAUCCAGCCAUGCCGCGUGUGUGAAGAAGGCCUUCGGGUUGUAAAGCACUUUCAGUGGGGAAGAAAGCCUUGGGGCUAAUACCCUCGAGGAAGGACAUCACCCACAGAAGAAGCACCGGCUAACUCCGUGCCAGCAGCCGCGGUAAUACAGGAGGGUGCGAGCGUUAAUCGGAAUUACUGGGCGUAAAGCGCGCGUAGGCGGUCUGAUAAGCCGGUUGUGAAAGCCCCGGGCUCAACCUGGGAACGGCAUCCGGAACUGUCAGGCUAGAGUGCAGGAGAGGAAGGUAGAAUUCCCGGUGUAGCGGUGAAAUGCGUAGAGAUCGGGAGGAAUACCAGUGGCGAAGGCGGCCUUCUGGACUGACACUGACGCUGAGGUGCGAAAGCGUGGGUAGCAAACAGGAUUAGAUACCCUAGUAGUC